ensembl:lncRNA
GUUUCCUGCAGCAUGUCUUCUGUCAUCAAGUGAAGUGGGAACCACAUGAGGCCAUGCAGAGGCAGACACUGCCUAGGUGGAAGCUCUGCUCUGUGAAAGAGGAUUAGCUGCUUGGAUCUUCACAGGCAUCAUCAUGGUGAGUGGCUUUUUUGGUGUUUGUAUUUGGCAUGCUCAUAAACAAAUACAGUUAAGGUCAUUAUGAUAAACUUGCAUAUGUCUUACACCCAGUGUCUACUCCAGAACCUGAAAAGGUGAACCCACUGGAGUUGCCUGGGUAAGCAAGGAGAUGACUUGGUGGGGUUACCAACUGUCUGACGUGGCAGAAAUGGCUUGGGUCUGUUGGGUAGCGACUUGGUUUAUAUGUGUGCAUACUACUGUGUUUCUGACACCAGAAUUGACACUCUUUUGCAGGUUUGGCUGUUAUGGUGAAAUGAUUAGUGUCUGGUCCUGACCAUCUGUCUUAAAAUGGUGAGUUUGUAUUUAUCCCCUUAAACUCCUGACUGUAUUUUACAUGAUGAGUCUGAGUUUAGAUGACUGACUGGUUUCCCUGAUUUUAAGUCACUGAUUUGAGGAACUCAUUUACAAUCUAAAUAGAAAAUGACUUGCAUUUUCUGCCUUGUGUGCAUACAGGUUUGAAAUCCUUGGCAGAAGUCCUGGCCAGACACGGCUGAAAAAGGGACCAUACAUUCAGAUUGAUUGUUUUUUUUCUGUAUGCCGGAGAGUGAGCGGUCCAUGCCAGGUUUCAGAACAUGAUCAGGUUGCCUGCAUCCUCAGUGAUUUGGGUCCCCGCUAUCCCCAGGCUUUGGUACUCAAAAACCUGUCUGCUCCAAGACUCUUUGGCGUCAUCAUGUUCCAGCAUGGCUUUCUUGUACUACAGUUUUUAUUUGUGAAUAAAUGUGUGGCCCUAACAUUGUCUUGGAAUUGUAUCAGGAUGGGAUGGAUAUUGAGGGUUACAACUUCACCAUAAGCCAGUAGAGCAAAAACAGUAAGAGUAGCUAAGUGAUAUGGUUGGCUGUUCUGGAAAUUAUGGUAAAAAUGUAUUUUCAGAGUUCUUAUGCAUUAACCCUUCGCUGAGACUAAGUUGUCGUUUUGUUAGGGCAUAUAGCAACGGCUGAUGAGCCGUUUUGUCGGCAGACGGGUGGAAUGGGAAGACUAUAAGGAAUUGUAUUAAUUACUAAGUUUCUAUAUAUUAUAUAGUGUGCGUGGCAAGUCAUUUUGUAUGCGAGGGCCAUAAUCUGGCUUCGCUUUCCACUCCUACCCACAGACCCUUAACAUUCUAUGGAUUGGCUCCUACUUUUACAAUGGUUGGUGUUGCCAUAUUGAGAAAUGCAGACUUUCACCUUUCUCUUGAGUGGUGUGAACCGAGGUUGAUGUUUUGGAAUAGAGCUGGCUACACCUGCUCAGUAACUGAAUUUAAUUCAAAGGGGCGUGGUUCUGAAGGUACUGUUAGUUUUCUUUGCACCUCAGGGCAGAUAUAAACUAAUUACAACUUUUAAUAAGAAAUGGCCAACGAUCGGCCCAGAAAGCAGGGGCAGUGGCCCAUUGGUUUAUGUUCUGUAUACUCCAACACUGUCCCCAUCUGUCCCCUUGUCUUCUGUCAGAUGCCGUGGCCUGAUGAAUGAGUCACAAAAGCGCAAGGUGGGUACGGACAAUUUGCGGGCCAAAAAAACCGAAAGCGACCGUUGUCGUCAUGUGCAAAAAUAACCCACCCCCACCAUACGGUCAU